GAUGAACGCUGGCGGCGUGCCUAAUACAUGCAAGUCGAGCGAACAGACGAGGAGCUUGCUCCUCUGACGUUAGCGGCGGACGGGUGAGUAACACGUGGAUAACCUACCUAUAAGACUGGGAUAACUUCGGGAAACCGGAGCUAAUACCGGAUAAUAUAUUGAACCGCAUGGUUCAAUAGUGAAAGACGGUUUUGCUGUCACUUAUAGAUGGAUCCGCGCCGCAUUAGCUAGUUGGUAAGGUAACGGCUUACCAAGGCAACGAUGCGUAGCCGACCUGAGAGGGGGAUCGUCCACACUGGAACUGAGACACGGUCCAGACUCCUACGGGAGGCAGCAGUAGGGAAUCUUCCGCAAUGGGCGAAAGCCUGACGGAGCAACGCCGCGUGAGUGAUGAAGGUCUUCGGAUCGUAAAACUCUGUUAUUAGGGAAGAACAAAUGUGUAAGUAACUAUGCACGUCUUGACGGUACCUAAUCAGAAAGCCACGGCUAACUACGUG
rnacentral:rRNA from 1 species